GAUAAACGCUAGCGGCAGGCUUAACACAUGCAAGUCGAGGGGCAGCAUAGAUUGUAGCAAUGCAAUUGGUGGCGACCGGCGCACGGGUGCGUAACGCGUAUGCAACCUACACGUCACAGGGGGAUAAUCCGGAGAAAUCUGGCCUAAUACCCCAUAACAUAUGGAUCGGCAUCGGUUCAUGUUGAAAUUUUCGGAGGUGACGGAUGGGCAUGCGUAGCAUUAGCUUGUUGGUGAGGUAACGGCUCACCAAGGCGACGAUGGUUAGGGGGACUGAGAGGUUUUCCCCCCACACUGGUACUGAGACACGGACCAGACUCCUACGGGAGGCAGCAGUGAGGAAUAUUGGUCAAUGGGCGCAAGCCUGAACCAGCCAUGCCGCGUGCAGGAUGACGGCUCUAUGAGUUGUAAACUGCUUUUGUACGAGGGUAAAGUGGGUUACGUGUAACCUUUUGAAAGUAUCGUACGAAUAAGGAUCGGCUAACUCCGUGCCAGCCGCCGCCGUAA
rnacentral:rRNA from 1 species